UACGUAGGUGGCAAGCGUUGUCCGGAUUUAUUGGGUUUAAAGGGUGCGUAGGCGGCCCUGUAUGUCAGUGCUGAAAUAUCCCGGCUUAACCGGGAGGGUGGCAUUGAUACUGCGGGGCUAGAGUACAGAUGAGGUAGGCGGAAUUGACGGUGUAGCGGUGAAAUGCUUAGAUAUCGUCAAGAACACCUAUAGCGAAGGCAGCUUACUAGGCUGUAACUGACGCUGAGGCACGAAAGUGUGGGGAUCAAACAGG
rnacentral:rRNA from 1 species